rnacentral:rRNA from 1 species
UACGAAGGGGGCUAGCGUUGCUCGGAAUCACUGGGCGUAAAGCGCACGUAGGCGGAUUGUUAAGUCAGGGGUGAAAUCCUGGAGCUCAACUCCAGAACUGCCUUUGAUACUGGCGAUCUUGAGUCCGGGAGAGGUGAGUGGAACUCCGAGUGUAGAGGUGAAAUUCGUAGAUAUUCGGAAGAACACCAGUGGCGAAGGCGACUUCCUGGCCUGUUCUUGACGCUGAGGCGCGAAAGCUAGGGGAGCAAACGGG